CCUACGUGAGGCAGCAGUGGGGAAUAUUGGGCAAUGGGCGCAAGCCUGACCCAGCAACGCCGCGUGAAGGAAGAAGGCUUUCGGGUUGUAAACUUCUUUUAUCAGGGACGAAGCAAGUGACGGUACCUGAUGAAUAAGCCACGGCUAACUACGUGCCAGCAGCCGCGGUAAUACGUAGGUGGCAAGCGUUAUCCGGAUUUACUGGGUGUAAAGGGCGUGUAGGCGGGAGUGCAAGUCAGAUGUGAAAACUAUGGGCUCAACCCAUAGCCUGCAUUUGAAACUGUACUUCUUGAGUGCUGGAGAGGCAAUCGGAACUCCAUGUGUAGCGGUAAAAUGCGUAGAUAUAUGGAAGAACACCAGUGGCGAAGGCGGUCCCCUGGGACGCAACUGACGCUCAUACACGAAAGCGUGGGGAGCAAACAGGAUUAGAUACCCGUGUAGUC
rnacentral:rRNA from 1 species